AAAGAUUAAGCCAUGCAUGUCUAAGUAUAAACAAAUACAUACUGUGAAACUGCGAAUGGCUCAUUAAAUCAGUUAUAGUUUAUUUGAUGGUACCUUACUACAUGGAUAACUGUGGUAAUUCUAGAGCUAAUACAUGCUGAAAAGCCCCGACUUCUGGAAGGGGUGUAUUUAUUAGAUAAAAAACCAACGUAGGCAACUGCUCCCUUGGUGAUUCAUAAUAACUUCUCGAAUCGUAUGACCUUGUGUCGACGAUGCUUCAUUCAAAUAUCUGCCCUAUCAACUUUUGAUGGUAGGAUAGAGGCCUACCAUGGUUU
rnacentral:rRNA from 1 species